CGACAACCGUUCCUCCUACUGCUCCGAGCCCUAGCACUUGGGAUUUUAGGUUGUCGCAGAUUAUAGCGGGUCUUCUUCACUCAGUGUUCAUGAGGUAGCGGGGCUGCCACUUUGGACACUGGAUUUUGCGGGACCCAACACUG